AUUGAACGCUGGCGGCAGGCCUAACACAUGCAAGUCGAGCGGAUGAAGGGAGCUUGCUCCUGGAUUCAGCGGCGGACGGGUGAGUAAUGCCUAGGAAUCUGCCUGGUAGUGGGGGAUAACGUCCGGAAACGGGCGCUAAUACCGCAUACGUCCUGAGGGAGAAAGUGGGGGAUCUUCGGACCUCACGCUAUCAGAUGAGCCUAGGUCGGAUUAGCUAGUUGGUGGGGUAAAGGCCUACCAAGGCGACGAUCCGUAACUGGUCUGAGAGGAUGAUCAGUCACACUGGAACUGAGACACGGUCCAGACUCCUACGAGAGGCAGCAGUGGGGAAUAGUGGACAAUGGGCGAAAGCCUGAUCCAGCCAUGCCGCGUGUGUGAAGAAGGUCUUCGGAUUGUAAAGCACUUUAAGUUGGGAGGAAGGGCAGUAAGUUAAUACCUUGCUGUUUUGACGUUACCAACAGAAUAAGCACCGGCUAACUUCGUG
rnacentral:rRNA from 1 species